UAAAUAUAUUAAUAAACUUUAACAAUAGUAGUAAAGAGAGAAGGUAUAACAGCGCUUACUUGCAGAGGACGAUAGCGAGAGGAAACUGAUCUAUUAACGAAUCGAAUGGGUUGAAAUCGAAGAAGACGAAAAAUAUAGGUUGGAAGAACAAUAAAAAGGGGGGAUGGAGAACCCUUGAGCUUCGUCGAUUCAGUGAAGGAACA